rnacentral:rRNA from 1 species
CACGUAGGGGGCGAGCGUUGUCCGGAUUUAUUGGGCGUAAAGGGCUCGUAGGCGGCUCAGUAAGUCGGGUGUGAAACCUCCAGGCUCAACCUGGAGACGCCACUCGAUACUGCUGUGGCUAGAGUCCGGUAGGGGAGACUGGAAUUCCUGGUGUAGCGGUGAAAUGCGCAGAUAUCAGGAGGAACACCGGUGGCGAAGGCGGUUCUCUGGGCAUUACCUGACGCUGAGGAGCGAAAGUGUGGGGAGCGAACAGG